UACGGGGGGGGCAAGCGUUGUUCGGAAUUACUGGGCGUAAAGGGCUCGUAGGCGGCCAACUAAGUCAUACGUGAAAUCCCUCGGCUUAACCGGGGAACUGCGUCUGAUACUGGAUGGCUUGAGAGUUGGGAGAGGGGAUGCGAAUUCCGAGGUGUAGCGGUGAAAUGCGUAGAUAUCUGGAGGAACACCGGUGGCGAAGGCGGCAUCCUGGACCAACACUGACGGCUGAGGAGCGAAAGCCAGGGGAGCAAACGGG
rnacentral:rRNA from 1 species